rnacentral:rRNA from 1 species
AGAGUUUGAUCCUGGCUCAGGACGAACGCUGGCGGCGUGCCUAAUGCAUGCAAGUCGCACGGGUCUCCUUCGGGUGGCCAGUGGCGAACGGCUGAGGAACACGUACGAAUCUACUCCGGUGUGGGGGACAACACGGCGAAAGCCGUGCUAAUCCCGCAUACGCUCGGCAACGAGGAAAGCGUGGUAACACACGCGCACCGGAUUGAGCGUGCGGCCCAUCAGGUAGUUGGUGUGGUAAUGGCGCACCAAGCCCGUGACGGGUAGCUGGUCUGAGAGGACGAUCAGCCAGACUGGGACUGUGACACGGCCCAGACUCCUACGGGAGGCAGCAGCAAGGAAUUUUUGGCAAUGGGCGCAAGCCUGACCAAGCAACGCCGCGUGCGGGAUGACGGCCUUCGGGUUGUAAACCGCUUUUAUGGGGGAAGAAUCAGACGGUACCCCAUGAAUCAGCCCCGGCUAACUCUGUGCCAGCAGCCGCGGUAAUACAGAGGGGGCAAGCGUUGUCCGGAUUGACUGGGCGUAAAGCGUAUGUAGGUGGUCGCGCAGGUGGGGUGUUACAUCUCCAGGCUUAACCUGGAGCCGCCGCUCCAAACCGUGUGACUCGAGCCGUGCAGAGGUUGGUGGAAUUGCCGGUGUAGUGGUGAAAUGCGUAGAGAUCGGCAGGAACACCGAAAGCGAAAGCAGCCAACUGGGCACGUGCUGACACUGAGGUACGACAGCGUGGGGAGCGAACAGGAUUAGAUACCCUAGUAGUCC